ACCUGCGGAAGGAUCAUUGCCGUGACCCUAACGAAAAGGAGACUGUGAAUGUGUCAUCUAUGGUGUUGAGUUGCGGUUGUAAAACCGUCUCUCAGCUUGGGCCCCAGUCCGUCUUACGGAGGGGAGGCCUCAACAGAACCCACGGCGCUGGAUGGCGUCAAGGAACACCAAUGUUGCUAGCCUGGGGUUACGGCCAGCCUGCUGGUUGAACCCCUGUGCUGCGAUUCUAAAUGAAUUUAUAAGACUCUCGGCAACGGAUAUCUUGGCUCUCGCAUCGAUGAAGAACGUAGCAAAAUGCGAUACCUGGUGUGAAUUGCAGAAUCCCGUGAACCAUCGAGUUUUUGAACGCAAGUUGCGCCUGAGGCCUUUAGGUUGAGGGCACGUCUGCCUGGGCGUCACGCAAAAGUCACUCCACUAGUAUCCUAGUUGGAUGUGGUGUUUGGUCUUCCAUACCGCUUGAUAUGGUAGGCAAAAGUAAGAGGGUGCUGGCCAUGGUGCCGGACACAACACACGGUGGAUAACAUAGGUUGUUCUCAGAGUUGUGACUUGGACUGCCUUCGGCAGCAUUGCCCCUGAAGUCCCAUGUUGAUAAAGCAUCGAUUGCUUUCACAGCGACCCCAGGUCAGUCGGGAUUACCCGCUGAAUUUAAGCAUAUCAAUAAG
rnacentral:rRNA from 1 species